CUCUAGGCAAGCUCGCCUGCAGAACCCCUCUGCCCCUCCACUCCAAGCCGUGUCUGCCCAUUGCUCCGGCAAAGAGCUGGACUUGCGCGAAGUGACUCAUCUGGAAAAGAACCAGGAAGUGCAGGCUGACCUCUGCCUGGCUGGCCAGCAAGAACUGAGCAGAGUGUCAGUACCGGACAGCCCGCCGUGCCAACGCCCACCCCACCACUGUGAUUUCCUGCUCAGGGGAUGAAGUGAACCGACCCGUCACAUGGUUAUCUUAAUGCUGAGAGAAAACAUGACGCCAGAGACACUUUUGGAAGGAAAGGCUUUCUGCUUGUUUCAGGACAGUUUUGACGUGGG